rnacentral:rRNA from 1 species
AUUGAACGCUGGCGGCAUGCCUUACACAUGCAAGUCGAACGGCAGCACGGGUGCUUGCACCUGGUGGCGAGUGGCGAACGGGUGAGUAAUACAUCGGAACAUGUCCUGUAGUGGGGGAUAGCCCGGCGAAAGCCGGAUUAAUACCGCAUACGAUCUACGGAUGAAAGCGGGGGACCUUCGGGCCUCGCGCUAUAGGGUUGGCCGAUGGCUGAUUAGCUAGUUGGUGGGGUAAAGGCCUACCAAGGCGACGAUCAGUAGCUGGUCUGAGAGGACGACCAGCCACACUGGGACUGAGACACGGCCCAGACUCCUACGGGAGGCAGCAGUGGGGAAUUUUGGACAAUGGGCGAAAGCCUGAUCCAGCGAUGCCGCGUGUGUGAAGAAGGCCUUCGGGUUGUAAAGCACUUUUGUCCGGAAAGAAAUCCUUGGCCCUAAUACGGUCGGGGGAUGACGGUACCGGAAGAAUAAGCACCGGCUAACUACGUG